CCUGACAAGGCUACCAUAUGUUUACACAGCUGGCCAGUUUCUACCCAGAAUCUAAACAUGCCCGUUUGCACCUUAUCGUGCUCCAGAUUCACAGCUGGCAGAAAAGAAAUUGCAGAAACAACCAGCCAAGGUCAAUGUCCUUGCAAGAAAAAGGAAGCAGUGUCUUUCCUGCCAUGCUAGACUGCAACAUGGCAAACCACUGCAAGUGUGACGAAGGAAGGCACUAGUGGGAAAUGAAUCACAGGAAAGAUAACCUUUGAGUCAAUAAAUGUUGACCUUGGCUGUA